rnacentral:rRNA from 1 species
AUGGAGGACAUCGAGGACGUGCUGGGACCGGCCGGAUUUGCCGGCGGCGGAGCGCCUCCCGGGCUCCGCCUACCCCUCUCCACUGUCGCCGUCAAGCCCAAGCGCAGGUCGUACAAGCUCCUGCAGACGCAGGCCCAGCCCGAUGCCCGGAUCCCAGGCACGCAGACGAUAUACGUCAAGACAUUCGGGUGCUCACAUAACCAGAGUGACAGUGAGUACAUGUCGGGGCAGCUCUCGGCGUUUGGAUAUGCAAUUACUGAAGAGCCCGAAGGAGCUGAUUUGUGGCUAAUUAACACAUGCACUGUGAAAAAUCCAAGUCAAUCUGCCAUGUCAACUCUCAUAUCAAAAUGCAAGACGGCAAACAAGCCACUGGUUGUAGCUGGCUGUGUGCCACAAGGAAGCCGGGAUCUGAAGGAGCUUGAAGGUAUUAGUAUAAUAGGAGUGCAGCAGAUAGAUCGGGUUGUUGAAGUAGUUGAGGAAACUUUAAAAGGGCAUGAGGUUCGGUUGUUGAGUCGGAAAACACUGCCCUCACUUGAUUUACCCAAGGUUCGAAAGAAUAAAUUUAUUGAGAUCCUUCCAAUAAAUGUUGGGUGUCUAGGCGCUUGCACUUACUGCAAGACAAAGCAUGCUCGUGGUCAUCUUGGAAGCUAUUCUAUAGACAGCUUGGUAGAUCGUGUGAAAAUUGUUGUCUCAGAAGGUGUUCGUGAGAUAUGGUUGAGCAGUGAAGAUACUGGUGCUUAUGGUAGGGAUAUCGGUACAAAUCUUCCGAAUCUCUUAAAUGCAAUUGUUGCUGAGCUUCCUGCGGACAGAAGCACAAUGCUUCGCAUAGGGAUGACAAAUCCUCCUUUCAUACUGGAGCAUUUGAAUGAGAUAGCUAGUGUUUUGCGCCAUCCUUGUGUUUAUACUUUCCUUCAUGUUCCUGUGCAAUCAGGAAGUGAUGCUGUUUUAAAGGCGAUGAACCGUGAAUACACUGUCAGUGAGUUCAGAAUGGUAGUUGAUACUCUCUGUGAGCUUGUCCCGGGCAUGCAAAUUGCCACGGAUAUUAUUUGUGGCUUUCCUGGCGAAACUGAUGAAGAUUUUGUUGAAACGGUUAACCUUAUAAAAGAGUAUCAGUUACCUCAAGUUCACAUAUCACAGUUUUAUCCCAGACCAGGAACACCUGCUGCUAGGAUGAAGAAAGUGCCUAGCAUUGAAGUGAAAAAACGAAGCCGUGAGUUGACCUCAGUUUUUGAAGCUUUUUCACCAUACGAAGGACUGAAAGGCAAAGUGGAGAGGAUAUGGAUUACUGAAAUAGCUACCGAUGGUGUUCAUUUGGUUGGACAUACCAAAGGAUAUAUCCAGGUCCUUGUCAUUGCUCCAGAUAGUAUGCUAGGAACAUCAGCUGAUGCGAAGAUCACAUCUGUUGGAAGAUGGUCUGUAUUUGGUGAAGUGGUAGAAGGAACCGUUGCAAUAAAGGAAGCAUCGCCUCAACAAAAUUCUGCUGAAGUGCAGGUAGAAAACAGGCCAAAUCAUGUGGAGGAAGCCGCUUGUUCUACCAACACCUGUGAUUCCUGUGCAUGCUCGGGUGCAGAAAGCACGGCACAACAAUGUACACAGCGAUGUGAAGGUCCAUCUGAUGCACCGACAAAUUGUGGUGAUGCUACUCGUCAGGAAACACCUCAAUCUACGCUUGUCAGAAGAAAUGUAGAGGGUGCAGGGAAAACAAGUGGAAGUGAUACAGAAAAAUCCAGAGGGGACGAUCAGCAGAUAAAUGUGAUUACCAGGAGAGCACUAAACAUUGACAGGAUUCUUUGGGGUGGUUUGGCCGUAAGCUUUGCCACAACAGUGGCCAUACUUGUGCUGCUUACCUGCAAGAUAUUUUACACGUCCUCCUAA